AUGAAUAUUGGUCAUGAACUUUGGAUUUUCAUAGACAAUGUCCGAGCGGACCAAAGAUUUGCCAAUUUGGAUGGCAUUGCUGAUCUUGCUAAAGUGUUGGUGGAAACUAAAUUGCAUCUUGCUUUUCCUUUGGUGUAUCAACUUCUCAAGUUGGUGCUAAUUUUGUGAGUUGCCACAGUGUCAGUGGAGAAAUGCUGUUCGGCAAUGAAUAUCGUCAAGAGUGUUUUGCAGAACAAAAUGGGUGAUGAGUUCAUGAGUGAUAGCCUGAUUUGCUAUGUGGAGAAAGACAUAUUUUCUACAAUAACAAACGAUGAUGUGAUUGAUAUAUUUAAGAAUAGUGCCGUACCUAGAAAAUCAGAGGCCCGGAGCGAAUCAAAAUUUAGGCCCUGA
rnacentral:rRNA from 1 species